GACGAACCGUGCGAACGUUGUUCGGAAUCACUGGGCUUAAAGGGCGCGUAGGCGGGCUGCCAAGUCUGGGGUGAAAUCCCUAGGCUUAACCUAGGAACUGCGUCGGAUACUGGAUGGCUUGAAUCCGGGAGAGGGAUGCGGAAUUCCAGGUGUAGCGGUGAAAUGCGUAGAUAUCUGGAGGAACACCCGUGGCGAAGGCGGCUCUCUGGGACGGUACUGACGCUGAGACGCGAAAGCGUGGGGAGCGAACAGG
rnacentral:rRNA from 1 species